rnacentral:rRNA from 1 species
GAUGAACGCUGGCGGCGUGCCUAAUACAUGCAAGUCGAGCGAACAGACGAGGAGCUUGCUCCUCUGACGUUAGCGGCGGACGGGUGAGUAACACGUGGAUAACCUACCUAUAAGACUGGGAUAACUUCGGGAAACCGGAGCUAAUACCGGAUAAUAUAUUGAACCGCAUGGUUCAAUAGUGAAAGACGGUUUUGCUGUCACUUAUAGAUGGAUCCGCGCCGCAUUAGCUAGUUGGUAAGGUAACGGCUUACCAAGGCAACGAUGCGUAGCCGACCUGAGAGGGUGAUCGGCCACACUGGAACUGGGACGCGGUCCAGGCUCCUACGGGAGGCAGCAGUAGGGAAUCUUCCGCAAUGGGCGAAAGCCUGACGGAGCAACGCCGCGUGAGUGAUGAAGGUCUUCGGAUCGUAAAACUCUGUUAUUAGGGAAGAACAAAUGUGUAAGUAACUAUGCACGUCUUGACGGUACCUAAUCAGAAAGCCACGGCUAACUACGUG